GAUGAACGCUGGCGGCGUGCCUAAUACAUGCAAGUCGAGCGAACAGACGAGGAGCUUGCUCCUCUGACGUUAGCGGCGGACGGGUGAGUAACACGUGGAUAACCUACCUAUAAGACUGGGAUAACUUCGGGAAACCGGAGCUAAUACCGGAUAAUAUAUUGAACCGCAUGGUUCAAUAGUGAAAGACGGUUUUGCUGUCACUUAUAGAUGGAUCCGCGCCGCAUUAGCUAGUUGGUAAGGUAACGGCUUACCAAGGCGACGAGGCGUAGCCGACCUGAGAGGGUGAUCGGCCACACUGGAACUGAGACACGCUCCAAACUCCUACGGGAGGCAGCAGUAGGGAAUCUUCCGCAAGGGGCGAAAGCCUGACGGAGCAACGCCGCGUGAGUGAUGAAGGUCUUCGGAUCGUAAAACUCUGUUAUUAGGGAAGAACAAAUGUGUAAGUAACUAUGCACGUCUGGACGGUACCUAAUCAGAAAGCCACGGCUAACUACGU
rnacentral:rRNA from 1 species